AAGACUAUAGACCUGCGGAGUACCUGCGGAAGGAUCAUUAUCAAUUUACAGCGGACUUCGGUCCUGUCUGCACCCUUGUCUUUUGCGUACUAUAUGUUUCCUCGGUGGGCUUGCCUGCCGAUAGGACACUUAUAAACUCUUUUGUAAUUGCAAUCAGCGUCAGAAAACUAUAAUAGUUACAACUUUUAACAACGGAUCUCU
rnacentral:misc_RNA from 1 species